rnacentral:rRNA from 1 species
CCCUUAGAGUUUGAUCCUGGCUCAGAAUCAACGCUGGCGGCGUGCCUCAGACAUGCAAGUCGAACGCGAAAGGUUCCUUCGGGAACCGAGUAGAGUGGCGCACGGGUGAGUAACACGUAGGUAAUUUGCCUUUGGGUGGGGAAUAACUCAGGGAAACUUGAGCUAAUACCGCAUAAUGCAGCGGCUCGACAUCGAGACAGUUGUUAAAGCGGGGGAUUCGCAAGAACCUCGCGCCUGAAGAGAAGCCUGCGGCAGAUUAGCUAGUUGGCAAGGUAAUGGCUUACCAAGGCGACGAUCUGUAACCGGCCUGAGAGGGCGGUCGGUCACACUGACACUGACAUACGGGUCAGACUCCUACGGGAGGCAGCAGUCGGGAAUUUUGGGCAAUGGGCGAAAGCCUGACCCAGCAACGCCGCGUGAAGGAUGAAAUUUUUCGGAAUGUAAACUUCGCAAGAACGGGAAGAAUAAGUAGAAGCUAAUACCUUCUAUGAUGACGGUACCGUUUGUAAGCUCCGGCUAACUCCGUGCCAGCAGCCGCGGUAAUACGGGGGGAGCAAGCGUUGUUCGGAUUUACUGGGCGUAAAGGGCGCGUAGGCGGUCGUGACAAGUCACUUGUGAAAUCUCCGGGCUUAACUCGGAACGGUCAAGUGAUACUGUCGGACUAGAGUACAGAAGGGGCAACUGGAAUUCUCGGUGUAGCGGUGAAAUGCGUAGAUAUCGAGAGGAACACCUGCGGCGAAGCGGGUUGCUGGGCUGAUACUGACGCUGAGCGCGAAAGC